GAUGAACGCUGGCGGCGUGCCUAGUACAUGCAAGUCGAGCGAACGGACGAGAAGCUUGCUUCUCUGAUGUUAGCGGCGGACGGGUGAGUAACACGUGGAUAACCUACCUAUAAGACUGGGAUAACUUCGGGAAACCGGAGCUAAUACCGGAUAAUAUUUUGAACCGCAUGGUUCAAAAGUGAAAGACGGUCUUGCUGUUACUUAUAGAUGGAUCCGCGCUGCAUUAGCUAGUUGGUAAGGUAACGGCUUACCAAGGCAACGAUGCAUAGCCGACCUGACAGGGUGGUCGGCCACACUAGAGCUGAGACACGGUCCAGACUACUACGGGAGGCAGCAGUAGGGAACGUGCCGCAGUGGGCGAGAGCCUGACGGAGCAGCGCCGCGUGAGUGAUGGAGGUGUUGGGAUCGUAAUACUCUGUUAUUAGGGAAGAACAUAUGUGUAAGUAGCUGUGCACAUCUUGACGGUACCUAAUCAGAAAGCCACGGCUAACUACGUG
rnacentral:rRNA from 1 species